GAUGAACGCUGGCGGCGUGCCUAAUACAUGCAAGUCGUGCUAAGCGGGGACGGGUGUGUAACACGUGUAUAACCUCCUAUAAGACUGGGAUAACUUCGGGAAACCUUAGCUAAACCGGAUACUUACAGAUGGAUCCGCGCUGCAUUAGCUAGUUGGUAAGGUACCGACUAACCAAGGCUACGAUGCAUAGCCGACCUGAGAGGAUGAGCGGCCGAACUGGAACGGGGACACGGGCCAGACUCCUACGGAAGGCAGCAGUAAGGAUGCUUCCGAAAUCGGCGAAAGCCUGACGGAGCAACGCAGCGUGAGUGAUGAAGGUCUUCGGGUCGUAAAACUCUAUUAUUAGGUAAGCGGUACCUAAUCAGAAAGCCACUGCUAACUACGUGCCAGCAGCCGGGUAAUAC
rnacentral:rRNA from 1 species